rnacentral:tRNA from 1 species
GGAGGGAGUAGUUCAACGGAAGAAUAUCCGGUUGCUAACUGGAAGGGUGCAAGUUCGAGUCUUGUCUUCCUCCA